AUGGGUGAGCCGGUCGCCGCCCCCGACGGCGCCGCGCCGCGUGAAAGCUGGGACUCCGGGAUCCUCUCCUGCCUCGGCCGCAACGACGAAUUCUGCAGCAGCGACCUCGAAGUCUGUCUUCUUGGAAGUGUAGCGCCAUGUGUUCUGUAUGGUAGCAAUGUUGAGAGGCUUGCAGCAGCACCAGGAACUUUUGCAAACAGCUGCUUGCCUUACACUGGUCUCUAUAUGCUCGGGAACUCUCUCUUUGGGUGGAAUUGCCUAGCCCCAUGGUUCUCUCAUCCCACUCGUACAGCCAUUCGUCGAAGAUACAAUCUUGAGGGUAGCUUUGAGGCUUUCACUAGGCAAUGUGGGUGCUGCGGUGGCCUUGCUGAGGACGAGGAGAGGCGUGAGCACCUGGAGGUCGCCUGCGACCUUGCUACCCACUACUUCUGCCACCCUUGCGCCCUCUGCCAGGAGGGGCGCGAGCUGCGCCGCAGGGUUCCCCACCCUGGCUUCUACGGGCGCUCCGUCGUCGUCAUGAUGCCACCCACGGAGCAGACUAUGGGGCGCGCCAUGUGA
rnacentral:rRNA from 1 species